rnacentral:rRNA from 1 species
UGGGGAAUUUUGGACAAUGGGCGCAAGCCUGAUCCAGCAAUGCCGCGUGCAGGAUGAAGGCCUUCGGGUUGUAAACUGCUUUUGUACGGAACGAAACGGUCUUUUCUAAUACAGAAGGCUAAUGACGGUACCGUAAGAAUAAGCACCGGCUAACUACGUGCCAGCAGCCGCGGUAAUACGUAGGGUGCGAGCGUUAAUCGGAAUUACUGGGCGUAAAGCGCGCGUAGGUGGUUUGUUGAGUUGGAUGUGAAAGCCCCGGGCUCAACCUGGGAACUGCGUUUGUGACUGCAUCACUCGAGUACGGCAGAGGGAGGUGGAAUUCCGCGUGUAGCAGUGAAAUGCGUAGAUAUGCGGAGGAACACCGAUGGCGAAGGCAAUCCCCUGGACCUGUACUGACGCUCAUGCACGAAAGCGUGGGGAGCAAACA